UACGUAGGGGGCGAGCGUUGUCCGGAUUUAUUGGGCGUAAAGAGCUCGUAGGCGGUUGGGUAAGUCGGGUGUGAAAACUCAGGGCUCAACUCUGAGACGCCACUCGAUACUGCCCUGACUCGAGUCCGGUAGGGGAGCGUGGAAUUCCCGGUGUAGCGGUGAAAUUCGUAGAUAUGGGGAGGAACACCGGUGGCGAAGGCGGCCAUCUGGACGGCUACUGACGCUGAGACGCGAAAGCGUGGGGAGCAAACAGG
rnacentral:rRNA from 1 species